ensembl:snRNA U6 U6 spliceosomal RNA
GUGCUCACUUUGGUAGCAUAUAUACUAAAAUUGGAAGAAUAUAGAGAAGAUUAGCAUGGCCCCUGCACAAGGAUGACAUGCAAAUUUGUGAAGCAUUCCAUAUUUAA